GGGACUGGUAGGGGUCUUCGCCUUCAGCUACUAUGCAAAGUACAUUGCUGCCAUGCCCAUGCACCCCAGCAUUUACGGAUUCGCGCUAUCAGUGCUAGCCAUGAUAUUUGUGAGUCUGAUCACCAAGAAGCCAUCUGAGAAGGUGCUGGAGGAGACGAAUACUGGAUUGUACAUCCGCAAGCUUAAGCCUGCUCUCAUGGGCAGGCUAAGCGAUAAGAUCUAAUAUCACGAAGGGAUAGUGAACUCGGACAAGGGCCCGUGGUCUAGCUGGUUAUGACAUCGCCCUUACACGGCGGGGAUCACGCGUUCAAAUCGCGUCGGGCCCA
rnacentral:tRNA from 1 species